rnacentral:lncRNA from 1 species
CUAGAAUAUGCAUUUCAAAAUUCCACGAGCUCUUACUGUGUGAAACUCUUCGAAGUAUUUUGAUCAAUGGGACAUUUGGCCAUCUGAAAAAUAAAUUUGUAUGUUAUUUAUAUCUGUUGAAAAGAGGAAAAUUGGACUGAUUCUUACCCCAAUGCUACUGAUAUUGAAAUCUCCUGAAGGCAGAUUCUGCUUUAGAGAUCAACAUGCUGCAUAUCACAGCAAUGAUGGGACGCACGGUGCGGGCACUGGGCAGAGAGGUUCUAUCCUGGAGAGCAUUCCUGGAUUUCUAGUUCCAGGUAAAAUUCACAACGUACUCUGUAGAUUCACCUUUAUUACUGUAAUAAGAAUUCACAAGCUGGGAUGCCCAGGUGGCUCAGCGGUUGAGCACCUGCCUUUGGCUCAAGGCAUGAUCCUAGAGUCCCAGGAUCGAGUCCCACGUCGGGCUCCCUGCAUGGAGUCUGCUUCUCUCUCUGCCUGUGUCUCUGCCUCUCUCUGUGUCUCUCAUGAAUAAAUAAAUACAAUCUUUAAGAAAAAAAGAAUUCACA